UGCGUGGGGCGUGCAUUUGGCAUUAGUGGCUGACACAAAGAAGGAGAAAAGCUGAGCAGCCCUAAGACCACCACACUCAACUUCUCCACCCUAAACAUUUUUGUGCGGACCGAACGCAGAGCUGUCUGUCAGUCACUCAUGGGGAACUUUUGCCUUUUUCUUGGGAUGUUUCUGGUUUCAGUCGUCUCGGGUAAUACUGCUGAACAAGUCUCAGGCUUUACAGGAGGUAGUGUGGUUUUGCCAUGCUCCUGUGAGAACAGAGACACCUCAGAAGGUUUUUCCUGGCAGAAGAAGAUCAAUACCCAGAAACAUUUGAAGGUCUUCCCUUUAGAAGUCCAAGACGAACUAUAUGGGAAACAAUUUGAAGGAAGGGUGGAACAUGUUUAUUUAGAAAAUUCAAAUAACUGUUCCAUUCUCCUGAAAAAUAUCAUUGGGGGGGAUCAUGGUAUUUACAGGUGUUAUUAUAGGACAAUAGAAAACCUCCAAUAUUGGGAUGUAGACCUGAACGUCUCUGAUCCCCCCAUCGCCUCACAACAGCUCUCACAAACCCAGACAACACCGACUUCCACAAAAAAUCCACAGACUGAAAAGCCCGACUGGAAAAUGCUUUGGAUGGUCGCGAUUUUGGUGUUAGGAUUGUAGUAUAGCAUUGUUGUCGUCCGUCAUCCUGCACCCAAAAUGUCCAGGAAAGGGCAAACGAACCAACUGCAACGGGCUCCAACCCACAGACCUGUUCCACGACCUUCAAAGAGGCACCAGGAAGUCACUUUCAACUGAUAAGAUAAUUCAUGAAAAAUGUGGCAUUGAGCCUCUUUCAACCAUAAAAAGCAAGUGGCAUCAUGUUUGCAUUUCUGCCUCGAAACACCUCCAUUUUUUUUUGUUCAGUUUCAAAUGCACUGGAGGAAUGCAUCUGUCGUGUUUUUAUUUUUUCUACUGCAAAAAUGACAAUUUUAUCAAAGGAUAAAAGGUUUUUUCAGACAAGCCGAUACAAUAAAUGCAAGAACUAGUGAUUCAUAAUUAUCAUAAAAAGCAACAACAUUCAAUUGGAAAACCUUUUAUUUUGGCUUGUAGUGGAAGGAUACCUUUUGGCUGAAGCGUUUGCUGUUUUUGUUUGAGGAUCACAAAAGGCAUGUCAUGAGUUUGGCUCACGCCACCUAAGACUUUUUCAGUGCAUGAGAGAGGGGAGAGAAUAUGUGGGGAAGAUUAGUCAAAGCUUGCAAAGUUGGAUCAAGCUGCGAGAGUGGGCUCCUUUCCCAAAUUCCAUUUCUGGACCAUGUGGCCCUUCAGAGGUCCAAAAAAAAAUUUUUUAUUACCAUAACACAUGUGGACAUCAUGGCUCCACUAAAAGGAUUCAUUCAUUUUCUAUUCUGUUUGGGGCUGCUGGAGCCACUUGUGGGCAAAGGCAGGGGACACCUUGGACAGGGCGCCAGUAUGUCACAGGAAUGUCCACAAUCACACACUGAUUCACUCUCACACUCACUGAAGCUGGAGAUAACCCACGCAUGCACGGGGAGAACAUGCAAACUCCAUACACAUUGAUGUUCUGUUUUUUAAUGUCCCCCAGCUGGGACUUGAACCGGGGGCCUUCUUGCUGAGAGGCAAGAGCGCUAACCACUGCGCAACCGUACAAGCCCUCCACUAAAAUGAUGAACAUGUAAAAUGUUAAAUGAUGUCACAGUAAAUGUAAUAUGAAAAACGUGCAUUCUUAAAACACUUGUUUUUUGUUUCUAUAUAUUUUACACAAAAAAAGUACUGAUUUCUUCCUUAUUUUUUGCUCAUUGAUGUACAGUUUUUUUUAAACGGUUAUUUUCUUUGUAAUCACUUUUAAGUAGUCAUCAAAUGUCUCAAUAAGUCAGACUGUAAUUAUCAAAAUAAGUAAAAAAGGGGGAAAUACACAUCUUUAGUUGUUUGAUGUUAAAAUAUGCAGACUGUAAUUAGAAAUGACUACUUUGUGCACAUUUGUGUCUUAGCAGACUUUAAAACCUUUGAAACAAAAGCAAGUAGGGCAUCCAAACACAAAGUAAAAGAAAAAUCAUAAAGUUCUAGUUUUCAGGUCGGGAGAAUUUUAGUCCAGACGUUUAAAGUGCAUUUGGCCGAAAAAAGACCUGCUAGGUUUGAUUGUAAAUUCCCAGUAUUGAGGACAGGGAUGCCCAGUUUAGUUUAGUCUGCUUAGUUUGUUCAGUUGAGAAUUUUCCUAUUGAAUUCUGUGUACUCAUGAUACUUACAAGUUUACUUUACAAUUACAGGUACGAAGCCCAUUGAGACGAAUGUUGUUGUGAUUUUGGGCUUUAUGUAUGAAUUGAAUUGAAAUUGAAUUGAAUUGAAUUCUGGAGGUCAGCAGAAGGGAAGAGAUUUGCUUGAAAUAAGAAGAUCUCUUACAUGAUCAGAUGAGUCAAGUUGAGCCACCCGCUUGGCUGAAUGAUUGGAUUUAAAAGUAAAGAUAAAACUGUUUCCAAAAAAAUGAGGAAAAGCUAGAAAAAGCUGUGGAGCAAAUGGAACACAGUGAACCUUCACAGCUUUCAGCAGUGAAAGUUAACUGCAGCAUAUUUACAGUCAUGGGUUAGGGUCACUAUCACCAACCCUUAACGACAAGUUUUCGCAAAGCAAUGCAAGUUUUAAACAUAGUCGUAGGGAGAAGAUGUAAUAUUUGCCUUCUUGACUGAACCAAAGAGCUGGUUUCACAAGAAAAAGCAUUUUACUCCUCAAGACUGGGAUCUGAUACGGAGAAAAAGUACAUCAUUGGAAGGGGGCAGUUUCAGAAACUCAAUUUCAACAAGUUCAAACUUAUCCUGGUGAAUCAACUAUCAUUUCAUAGUCAGAUACAGAAUUGCUGAUUGGCUCAGCUCCAAAAAAACAUGUAGUCUUAUUUUAGUACAAGAGAAAGUAAAUAAAAAUCAGGACAUUUCCCUUCAAACUUUAAAACAUCGCCUUAUUUAAAAGACAGUAAUAGUUUCUGUCGUCAUCAUAGAAACCGCAUUUUUGCUGUGAAUCAUAAAAUACGCCAAACUAACCAAAGAGUAUUAUAAAUAUAUAUAGGGCCAAACACAAAACCUUGUUGUGCACCGUGACUGAAGGCUCAUAAAGACGAAUCGUAAAGUUGACUCAUAACAGCGUGUUUUAUAUCAACAACAUGUUUUAGUGUCUGUUGUCUAUCCGACGGCAUUUCCGAAUGUCUCAAGGCGAAGCCUUCUGUUUCAAAAGGAAAGCUUGAACAAACUUAGACAGAUGUUAAAAUAUUAAACCAAUAAAUGGUAAAAAAAAGGUGCAGCAGAGUUUAGGUCAAAGUCUAAAAAUGAGCUUUAAUGUGUUCUUUAUGAACCUGCUGACAUAGAAACCAAGGCAGAUAAGCAAAUCUACGUAAAAAAAAAAAAAAAAACUACAAAAGAGCAAGUUAAUGAUUCAUACUUUGUUUUCUGGGUUUUGUCAAAUGUUUAGUAAUAGCCUCAAACUCUUGACUGUAGAUGAGAACUGGAUUGAGUGACUCCUCCCACAUCACCUUCCAAACAGGAAGUACUUGCUGGCUCUGAGAAGUUUUGUCAAAUGCUGACAAUGUUGAAUACAAGACAUGUAAAUUUUUCGAAAAAGUUGUUUAUGUUGGGAUACAUUUGUUGUGUUCUUUUAUUUCCUGUAUAGUUUUGUAUCAUUUAAAAUGAUAAUAAAUUGUAAUAACCAUU